rnacentral:lncRNA from 1 species
UUCCUUUUUGAGAGUGUUAGCUCACACAGAAGGCAUUAGUGUUAGGUUUUGAUGGUGCAGCAAAAGGAUUAGGUGUUUAAAAUUUUUAUUAAAAAUAUCUAAUGUAUCGAAAACCUUAAUACCCAGAAACUCUUGACUAUAUCAAUCAAAGUACCAUAAAAUAAAUUUGGAUCAGAAGAAUAUCUAUAAUGCUAAUCUAAUUUUUAUUCAAGUAUCUACCCUCC